UCUCCACUCAGGCUUGAGUGUUCUUUCCUUUCUCAAUCCUCACUCCCCAACUCAGGCUGUUUCAUGCUGUGACAGCUGGACCACCACAAGAGGCACCCAAACAGGGACCUGAGUAUCAAGGGAUCCAGUGAAGGGCACCACAGAGAAGAACGAGGCCUCAACAAAAAGGGACAUGAUGGAGCACAUUGGUUCAUCAUGUGGAUCAUCCUGAC
rnacentral:lncRNA from 1 species